rnacentral:rRNA from 1 species
UGGGGAAUAUUGCACAAUGGGCGCAAGCCUGAUGCAGCCAUGCCGCGUGUAUGAAGAAGGCCUUCGGGUUGUAAAGUACUUUCAGCGGGGAGGAAGGUGUUGAGGUUAAUAACCUCAGCAAUUGACGUUACCCGCAGAAGAAGCACCGGCUAACUCCGUGCCAGCAGCCGCGGUAAUACGGAGGGUGCAAGCGUUAAUCGGAAUUACUGGGCGUAAAGCGCGCGCAGGCGGUUUGUCAAGUCGGAUGUGAAAUCCCCGGGCUCAACCUGGGAACUGCAUUCGAAACUGGCAGGCUAGAGUCUUGUAGAGGGGGGUAGAAUUCCAGGUGUAGCGGUGAAAUGCGUAGAGAUCUGGAGGAAUACCGGUGGCGAAGGCGGCCCCCUGGACAAAGACUGACGCUCAGGUGCGAAAGCGUGGGGAGCAAACA